rnacentral:rRNA from 1 species
GAUGAACGCUAGCUACAGGCUUAACACAUGCAAGUCGAGGGGAAACGAUAUUGGAAGCUUGCUUCCGAUAGGCGUCGACCGGCGCACGGGUGAGUAACGCGUAUCCAACCUGCCCACCACUUGGGGAUAACCUUGCGAAAGUAAGACUAAUACCCAAUGAUAUCCCAAGAAGACAUCUGAAUGAGAUUAAAGAUUUAUCGGUGAUGGAUGGGGAUGCGGCUGAUUAGCUUGUUGGCGGGGUAACGGCACACUAAGGCGACUAUCAGUAGGGGUUCUGAGAGGAAGGUCCCCCACAUUGGAACUGAGACACGGUCCAAACUCCUACGGGAGGCAGCAGUGAGGAAUAUUGGUCAAUGGGCGAGAGCCUGAACCAGCCAAGUAGCGUGCAGGAUGACGGCCCUAUGGGUUGUAAACUGCUUUUAUAAGGGAAUAAAGUGAGCCUCGUGAGGCUUUUUGCAUGUACCUUAUGAAUAAGGACCGGCUAAUUCCGUGCCAGCAGCCGCCGCCG